UACGUAGGGUGCGAGCGUUAAUCGGAAUUACUGGGCGUAAAGUGUGCGCAGGUGGCCGCGCAAGUCGAGUGUGAAAUCCCCGAGCUUAACUUGGGAAUUGCGCUCGAAACUACGUGGCUCGAGUGUGGCAGAGGAAGGUGGAAUUCCACGUGUAGCGGUGAAAUGCGUAGAUAUUGGGAGGAACACCGGUGGCGAAGGCGGCCCCCUGGGCUGGUACUGACGCUGAUGCGCGAAAGCGUGGGUAGCAAACGGG
rnacentral:rRNA from 1 species